rnacentral:lncRNA from 1 species
GUCACAUAGUUCCUGGCAUGCCAUUGUCCUGAAUUCACCUACUAAUUUUACCCUCAGAGAAAGAGAGAGUCUUUGGAGAGUUGUGAGGAGAUAAGUGACAUAAACUGGCAUGUUCUGAAAGAAUCACUCUGGAUGCUGUGUGGAGAAAACACUGAAAAGAAUUCUAGAGUGAAAGUUUCAUGAAUAUAAGAAGCAAGACAAGGAAGUGGCUUAUGCUUAAGGCCUUAAAGGCAACCACUGUGACAAUCCAGCCAUUCUCUGGAGAAUUCAGCAGAAAGCCAGUUGGAAGGGGAGAAUAAUUGACUCCAUUCAAGUGUUCGCUCCUGUUUCAAUCAACUAUGGCUGAAGAGUGAGGAGACAUUUGGAAUAAAUAUGGCUUCUGGGGGCCCAUUCCUAUGGAUCAGCAGCUGGCUUCUGGAGGCCCAUUCCUGUGAAUCGUCGAUCUCAUAGAAGAUAAUAUUGUUAGAAGGCUUACCUCAUUGAUGCUGAACAUCCUAAAAAGCUUCUGCUGCUUUGAGUCACUGAAAAAGACCAAGAAACAUGAAUUUAAAAAAAAAUUUCAAAUGUUAUAAAAUAAAUAAUAUGAACUCAUUAUACCUACAAUGAAUAAUUUAAAUUCUUCUUUGGUAGUCCAGGUAAAUAACUUCUCAAAUAGAUUUUUUUAAGCAUCUGUAUAAGUUCAAGAUGUACAUCACUUCAUGUAGAAUAACAUCUCCUAAAAAGAACUGAAAUGCCUCAGUAUACAACCAGCUGACCUGGCUAUCAAACACUUAUUUAGCACAUAUUACAUGAUGGACACUUUGAUGUAGAUACGGACCUUGGGUUGUGUCCUCAAGGAUCAUACAGUGGGUUGAGGAAAUAGGAUAUGCUAUCCAUAGGAAAGUAAAUAAUAAUAUGACAGCUUAUUUUCAAUGAGAAGUGAAUAGUACAAAGAAUAGGAGUUGCCAGAUUUCAAAAGGAAAGAGCUAUCACACAGAGGCGGAACAAUUAGAAAUUUUUCAUGAAGGAAGUGUUCUUUGUGCUGGACCUUUGAGAAAGUAUAGAAUGUAGAUUAGCAAAAAGGCAUGGAAAAGGCAUGAUAGGUAGGAGAGGCAAGUUAGGCAAAGGUCCAUUAGAAUUGCUCAAGAUAUAAUAGACCAACUUGGCCUGAAAAAGGCCUGGAAGUAUCCUCUUUUGUGCUCUGUGAGAAGUUUGCCACCAUGUAAAAAGUCUAACUACCCUAAGGCAACCAUGCUCUGAGAAGCCCAACCUAUC